rnacentral:sRNA from 1 species
UAUUUUAACGUUAAUAAAAAUAUGGAAAAAAACGAAAGGACGUUUGAAACCCCAUCGAUGAAAAAUUAACGUCGUAAAAAAUAUCUAUAGUUCGUUUACCAAAUCGCCCAAAUUAAAACGUUAAAGGACGGCGUUAAAAAGGGACGUUGGAUUACGUAUAAUACCGAUAUAAAGAAAUUUCGACCGGUUAUUUAAUAUUUGUCGGACGUUAAAAUACGUCCUCCCGUUACUAAGGCCACGUACGAGGAUAUUCUCCCAAAGGAGCCCAUAUUAUUAAUACGAAAGCAAAAAAACAAAAAACCAACCAUUUAAUUUGCUGAAAAAAUUCGUAAUAGUAAUUAGGAAUUCAAAUUAUUAUUAGUAAUAAGGAGGUAUAAAUAUAUAAGGCCAAUCCUUUUCCAAACCCAUUAACGAUAUAAUUAAAAAGGCGUUUCAGGAGUUUAAUAAACAUAAAUGUUAAAUAAAGGAUAAUUUUUUUACUUUUUACGAUUUGAAAAAUUGCUGCUAAGGUAUAUAUUCCCCAAUGGAGGAUCGAUUGGAUUUUUGUAUAUAGGAUUUAUCGACAGGGAUGGAAGACGGAUUGGGCCAUUGGAUUGUGGAACGGGUUUGGGUUAAUAGUCGGAAGCGUUUCGGGUCGGGAAAGCCUGGGGAAAAAAAAAAUCCCUUAAACCAACGAGGAUUUUCCCGUCAACUUCGAAAACGUUUAAUCGAUGCGAAAUAACUUCCAAAAACUAUAUUAUUUUAUCGAAAAAAUAUUUAAAUUUACCGGGGUUAAUAAAAUGUGAAAGGUGUUGGUUCUUGUGGACCGCGGUAAAAGUAAUUAAAUUGCCCCAUUAAUUAAAAUAUAUUAAAGAACAAAUAUUAGCGUGGGAAAAGGAGAAGAAAAAAUACAAAUUUCCAAAACUUACGCCUAAGUAGUACUAAAGAUAUUAAUAAUAAUAUACCGCCUUUUAGCAAAAUUGUAAAAGGUUUUGGUAUUAUAAAUAAGCGCAUUAAUACCCUUUUCUGCUAUUUCCAAAACAGUUUCGUUUUUGGGAUCGAGGAAUUUAUUUAAAGAAUCGGUUAUAUCGAACCUUUUUUGCAUCCCCGGACAAUUUAAUAUUAGUACAAAUUUAAUAAUGGGCCGGCAAAUAAUAUUUAUAAUACCCCAAUAUUUGGCCCGCAAUCUAACGUCGAAAAUAUUAUCGGCCGGAAUUUGGGUAUUAUAAUUAUAAAAUUUCGGCCACCAAAUAUUUUUUUUGUUUGUUAAAUUCGAAUGUAAAAUUUCCACCAAUUUAAUUAGAAUAUGUUUUUCUUUUUCAAAUUUGGGCCUAUAUAAUAUUAUAUAUGCAUUAUUAAACGUUUUCCGUAAUUAUAUUUGCGCGUAAUAACUAUAAGCGAUACGCUGGUCGAUCUUAUAUUCGAUUAUAUAUCCCAAAUUAGGGGUUGGUAUGCUUUGCUCGUAUUUGCUAAUGCCCGACUGUUGUAAAUUCAAUUCGGUAAUAAUAUUAUUACAAAUUUGGUCAAUAUUGGCAAAAGAAAAAAAAAAAAAAAAACCAUAUACCAUUUAAAUUAUAUAUAUGUCCAAUAUAUGAAAUAGUAUUAGGUGUUUUUAAUAUUUUGUAUUUGGCUGUUAAUAGCAGUAAAACGAAAAAAAUGGUUUUAUAAAAGCAGGUUAGCGACCAAUUCCAACCAAUUUCUGGAGGAAAGGGCAAAAAAAAAAUUUAUUCCCUAAAAAAAUGCUGGGUUUUAAUAUAAGUAUUAUAAAUAUACCAGUAAUUAUCCAUAACCCUGCUUAAUUGGCCGUAGUAAAAACCAGCCAAAAUAUUGGCGUACACGUAUUAUACCGACCUCCCCGCCAUUUAAUUACCUAUAAUAUCGGUGGUAUUGGUUAAAUAUUACAGGCCCGGAAUUACAUUUAUAUUUCUUUUUAUAGGUUUUAAUAUA